CCCCUCUCAGCAUCGCACCUGGAGAGUUUCCAGUAUUCUACCAGUCUCGACUACAGGAGGGAGAGUCAAGCAGGGGCAUAUCCAUUCCAUUCCUAGCUUGGCCAGGGGCUAGCGAGCGAAAGGCCAUAUGCUACAAGU